rnacentral:tRNA from 1 species
GGGCGUGUAGCUCAACGGCAGAGCAGGCGGCUCAUAACUGCUAGGUUCCAGGUUCGAAUCCUGGCGCGCCCA